GUGUGCAGUGCUUUUGCAUACAUUUUCCUGAGUCUAAUCAGGAUUUUUUCUUGUCUAUUUCUCCCCAGACCUUGCCUGUUGGGUUUUUAAGGCUCCUAGUCCUGUGACCUGGCUCUAAGUGGGCUUCAAGGUUUGUUCCUCAUUUCCUACUGUGAGUCUCCCUGCCUCCUCAGCUUCUGGCCCCGGCUUGGGAAAGGUUUCAUGCGGAGAACCUUUCUCCUGUUGUUACCUGCCUGUCCACCCUCCUACGUGGGAAUGCUCAAGCUGAGACGUCACUAGAGAACUAAGGGAAAGAAAAGAAACUGCUGCUGACCACACUCAUCCUGCCAACCUCCAUCACAGAGGAAGAACUCUCCUCCCCAGCGAAACCACUACCACUCUGGCUAGAAGAACCAGUCCCCUGCUGUUGUUGUCUGGAUACCUGUCUUACCUCUGUUCAUUUUUCUUCACAAAAAUAAAUCUGUUAAAACGCUA